rnacentral:rRNA from 1 species
UACGUAGGGUGCGAGCGUUAAUCGGAAUUACUGGGCGUAAAGUGUGCGCAGGCGGCCGAGCAAGUCGAGUGUGAAAGCCCCGGGCUUAACUUGGGAAUUGCGCUCGAAACUACUUGGCUGGAGUGUGGCAGAGGGGGGUGGAAUUCCACGUGUAGCAGUGAAAUGCGUAGAGAUGUGGAGGAACACCGAUGGCGAAGGCAGCCUCCUGGGCCAACACUGACGCUCAUGCACGAAAGCGUGGGGAGCAAACAGG